AUAUUUCAUUCGGGUAUAAUCUCAGACUUUUAAUCUGAGGGUCCAGGGUUCAAGUCCCUGU
rnacentral:tRNA from 1 species